CCACACGACUCUCGGCAACGGAUAUCUCGGCUCUCGCAUCGAUGAAGAACGUAGCGAAAUGCGAUACCUGGUGUGAAUUGCAGAAUCCCGCGAACCAUCGAGUCUUUGAACGCAAGUUGCGCCCGAGGCCACUUGGCCGAGGGCACGCCUGCCUGGGAGUCACGC
rnacentral:rRNA from 1 species